GGAAACCAGCUGAUUCUAAAUUGUCAAAUUUGGUGACAGUGGGGCCAUAAAUGCCUAAAUACAGUGGUCUGUUUCAAAAUUAAACUGUGCAACACCAGUGGACCUCCUAGUGCAGAAUGGGUAUUUGGAGGAUGAAAAUGUGUCUGUGCCUCUUUUGGGAUGAGGGAGGCGUUGUGGGUUCCCACACAUCUGUUGUGGGAAGAAUGCAUGAGCAUGAGAGGAACCAGGUUCAAAUCUGGCUUGGCUGAUGCGCAUGUUCUGAGACCAAGGAAAGGUCCUGCCCUGUGCUGGUGGCCUGUAAUCAUAUGUCCUGGUCUCAUCACAUUGGACUUGCCUACAGAACCUGGGUCCUCAGCUCUGUUUUGUGUGUUAUUCAGGGGAAGUCAUGUUUGUAGCCAGAGCUCUUCCCUUGCUCGUCUAGUGCACAAGUUGUGCAUAGCCAUCUCGACUGGGAGAAUGGGAACAUGGCCUUUGAUGGCAGUUCUGGCAUCCUGAAUUUGAUGGAAUAGAUCACAGGAUAUUGGAAAUCUGUGUAACCUGGGCUUAUUGCACUGUGAGAAUGUGUGGACAUGUGGCACUCACUCUCAUGGCUAGAAUGAGCAAAAGUCAUUUUUGUAGGCAAAAAUGAAGAGUGCACAGUUCAGCUAUGUAUAAGUGUGUGAGCCAAUGUGAGAGGAUCCAUUACUAUAAGACUCCAUGGCUAAGCUGGCAUGCAGUCUGUAUGCCAGUGGUACUUUCUAGAAACUUCUAUAUAUUAGGGUGGCUGUGACAUUUUCGACAAUCACACUGACAGUAUUUUGCACAGUUCUUUGGUUCCACAUACAUUUGGGUAAUGGUCACAUUCUAAGAAUUCAGGACCGUAGGUGAGAUUCCAUGAGAUGUAUCCAUGCAGACUCAAAUAUUCCAGCUUGAACCCGGAGUUUAAGGUAGUGGGAUAAUAACUGGCUUAUUGAUUCCUCUCUAGACUCUGCUGGUGUUCAGACUACAUCAACUUGGUGUCAAAGUAACUGAUUGCCUAAUCAUGGAAUCCUAUAGAGACCUUUUCUUAGGGCAGUUAUACUCAACCUGUGGGAAGCCACCCUCCCAAAGACCAUCUGAAGCAAUGCAAUUUAUAUGACAACUCAUAACACCAGCAAAACUGAUGUUAGGACGAUCCAGUUAAAAUGACUUUACUGUCUGUGUUUACCAGAACAUGAGAAAUUUUGCUAAAUGGUCUCAACAUGAGGAGGAUUAAAACUCACUAUCUUAUGGACAGUAGAUUGUACAUAGGUUAGGACCUGGGUCACUCUCCAUGAAUGGAAAGUGUAAGGUUUAUGCCCACAGCAAGGUCUCUGUCCUAGUGAAUGAGGUCAAUAGUGGUGGACAGUUAUUUGGGUCACACAGGAGGCUUUGGUGUUGCACAGGCUCCUGGACCAUAGACAGGCAUCCCGAGAGGAUGUAGAUGACAUGGCUAAGGUUAAAGCUUCAGACAAUGAUUGAGGCCUGUCUAACUUGAAACCAAAGGAUCCAAGCUUAUUGCAAAUGAUUCAAAUCUGAGAAAGGUGAGGACCAAAAUGCCCCAACUCAAUGGUAAGGUUCAAAACUGUGCAACACCAGCUGGGCCACCUAGUGAAGGAUGCGUACAUGGAGGAUGAAAAUGUGUCUGGGUUUUGGUAUAGGGGAGAAUUGUGGGUCCCCACACACCUUGCUGAGGGGAGAAUGCAUUAGCAUGAGAGGAACCAGGUUUAAAGCUGGCUUGGCUAAUGCACAUGUUGUGAGACCAAGGAAAGGCCCUGCCCUGUGCUGGUGGCCUGCAAUCAUAUCUCCUGGUCUCAUCAUAUUUGACUGGCCUACUGAACCUGGGUCCUCAUCUCUGCUUUGUGUUGUGUUCAGAUGAAGCCAUGUUUGUUACUGGAACUCUCCCCUUGAUGGCCUAGUGCACAUGGUGUGCAUAUCCAUCUAGACUGGGAGAAUGGGAACAUGGCCUGUGAAGUCAGCUCUGGGAUCCUCACUUUGCUGGAAUGGAUCUCAGGAUAAGGGUGAUCUGUGAGAACUGGGACUAGGGGAUUAUAGGAGGAGCUAUGGACACACAGAUUUCACUGCUCAGAGCCUGAAUGCCUGGUGAACUGUGCCAGCUAGGCCUAAGAGCAUGAGCCAGUGUAGGAAGUUAUGUAUCCAGAAAACUCCAAGGCUAAGCUGGAAUGAAAUCUGUAUGACACCAGCUUUUCCUUGAAGUCCCCACAUUGAAUGUUGACUGUGGCAUAUAAGGCCAUUACAGGACAAGAGUUUGCAUAGACAUUUUGAAGCCACAAACAUGUGUGGUAACGUCACACUGUAACAAAGCCAAAGCAGGGACGAGAAUCCUCGAAAUGCUGUCAGUUAGACUCCAAGAUUUCAGCUUGGCCUAGGAGUUUACACUAGUGGCAGAGUAGAGGGGAUAUUGGUCCCUCUCAGAACUCUUCUGGUGUGCAGAAUAAAUGUACAUGGAGUAUGUUUAACAGAGACUGAGAAAUCAUGGGAUCUGUACACUCACCUGGAUCGCUGCUGUGAAAUCCUACAGAGCCCUUUUUAUGACAAUUUCUGUCAGCCAGUGGGAAGCUACCCUCCCAAAGACCAUCUAAAGUAAAGAUAUGUCUGGUAUGAAUCAUAGCACCAGCAAAAUUUCAGUUAGGAUAUGUCUGUUAUGAUUCAUAACAACUGCAAAAUUGUAGUUAGGAUGUUUCAAUGAAAGUAAUUUUACAGUUGGUGGUCACCAGAACAUGAGAAACUUUGCUAAAGGGUUGCAACAUAAGGAGGGUUGAAAGCCACUCUCUUUAGUUCUUUAUGAACUAGGUGGCUUACAGGCUGGAACGCUCUCUAUGAAUUGAAAGUGUAAGGCCUAUGCCCUCCUCAAGUUCUCUGUCCUGGGAGAGUGGGGAUAAUGAUGGUAGUUGAAUUUCUUGGUCAAUCAAGAAGCAUUGGUGUGCACAAACUUCUGGACCACACACAAGCAUCCCUAGAGGAUGUGGAUUUUAUGGGUGAGGGCAAAGCUUCAAACAAACUCUGACGUUGGUCUUACUGGGAUCCAAAGGAUCCCAGGUGGUGCUAUAUGAUUAAAAUUUAGGGAUGAGAGCCAAAAUGCCCCCAACUAAGUGGUCAGGUUCAAAAAAUUGUGCAAUAUCCUUGGGGUACCUCAUGAUGGACAGGGAAAUGGGAGAUGAAAAUGUGUCUGGGUUUUGGGAUAUGGGAGGAGUUGUGGGUCCCCAUGCAGACUGCUGACAGGAAAAUGCAUGAGCAUGAGAGGAACCAGGUUUAAAGCUGGCUUGGCUGAUGCACAUGUUGUGAGAUCAAGGAAAGGUCCUGCCCUGUGCUGGUGGCCUCCAAUCAUGUGUCCUGGUCUCAUCAUACUGGACUGGCCUACAGAACCUGGGUCCUCAGCUCUGCUUUGUGUUGUGUUCAUGGAAGCCAUGUUUGUGACUAGAGCUCUCCACUUGUUGGUCUAGUGCACAAGGUGUGCAUGGCUAUCUAGACUGGGAGAAUGGGAUCAUGGCCUGUGAAGGCAGUUCUAGGAUCCUCACCUUGCUGGAAUGGAUUGCACAAUAUGGGCCAUCACUGACAUCUGGGCCUAUGGCACUUUGAUUAGCUGUGGACAUGUGGCCCUCACUGCUCAUGGUCUAAAUGUCUAGAGCAUAGCCCCAUAUAGAUUUAAGGGUGUGUGGGAGGAUCCAUUACUAGAAAACUCUAUGGUUGAGCUGGGAUGCAAUCUGUAUGACAGCAGCACUUGCUAGAAAUCCCUAUACAGUAAGUAGGGUGACUGUGGCAUAUUUGACAGUCACCCAGACAGGAUUUUGCACAGUUUUUUUUGGUGCCACAAACAUGUGGGCUAAGGUCACAUUCUAAGAAGUUUAGACCUUGGGCAAGAAUCCACAAGAUGCAGCCAUGCAGACUUCAAUAUUCAAUCUUGGCCUAGGAGUUUAAGGUAGUCAGGGAGACACUGGCUUAUUGGUCCCUCUCUUUACUAUGUUGGUGUGCAAACUACAUCAGCUUGGUGUCAAAGAGAAUGAUUGAGAAAUCAUGGGAUCUUGACCUUCACAUGGCUAGGUGCUCUGAAAUCCUAUAGAGACAUUUUCUUAGGGAUGUGUUCUCAACCUAUGGGAAGCAACCCUCCUAAUGACCAUCUGAAGCAAUGCAAUGACUAUUUACAUGACGAUUCAUAACAGCAGCAAAACUGCAGUUAGGAUGUACCAAUGGAAAUAAUUUUACUCUCUGUGUUCACCAGAACACAAAAAAUUUUGCUAAAGGGUAGCAGCAUGAGGAAUGCUGAAACCCACUGUCUUCAUAUAGUUGAUAGGUUAGGGUCUGGGUCGUUCUCCGUGAAUGGAAAGUGUAAGGCCUAUUCCCACAGCAAGGUCUCUGUCCUGGGAUAGUCAGGUCUAUGCGGGUGAUGGUUAUUUGGGUCACACAGGAGGCUUUGGUGUUGCACAGGUUCCUGGACCAUAGACAGGUAUCCCAAGAGGAUAUGGAUAAAAUGGCUAAGGUUAAAGCUUCAGACAAUGAUUGAAGCCUGUCUGACUAGGAACCAAAGGAUCCCAGCUGAUUUUAAAUGAUUCAAAUUUGAGAAAGGUGAGGACCAAAAUACCCCAACUCAAUGGUAAGGUUCAAAACUGUGCAACACCAGCUGGGCCACCUAGUGAGGAUGGGUACAUGGAGGAUGAAAAUUUGUCUGGGUUUUGGGAUGGAGGAGGAAUUGUGGGUCUCAACACAGCCUACUGAGGGGAAAAUUCAUGAGCAUGAGAGGAACCAGGUUUAAAGUUGGCUUGGCUGAUUCACAUGUUGUGACACCAAGGAAAGGCCCUGCCCUGUGCUGGUGGCCUGCAAUCAUAUGUCCUGGUCUCUUCAUAUUGGACUGGCCUACAGAACCUGGGUCCUCAGCUCUGCUUUGUGUUGUGUUCAGGGAAAGCCAUGUAUGUGACUAGUGCUCUCCCCUCACUGGUCUAGUGCCCAUGGUGUGCAUAGCCAUCUAGACUGAGAGAAUGGGAACAUGGCCUGUGAAGGCAGUUCUGGGAUCCUCACUUUGCUGGAAUGGAUCACAGGAUUUUGGGGAUCUGUGAGAUGUGGGCCUAUGGCACUGUGAGAAGCUGUGGACAUGUGGCACACACUGCUCAUGGCUUAAAUGAGCAAAAUUCAUUUUUGUGGACAAAAAUGAAUAGAGGACAGCCCAGCUACACCUAAGAGUGUGAGCCAUUGAAGGAGGAUCCAUUACUAGAAGACCCCAUGGCUAAGCUGGCAUGCAGUCUGUAUUACAGCAGCACUUUCUAGAAACUUCUAUAUAGUAGAGUGACUGUGACAUGUUUGACAGUCACCCGGACAGCAUUUUGCACAGUUCUUUUGGUGCCACAUACAUGUGUGUUAUGGUCACAUUCUAAGAAGGCCAGACCGUGGGUGAAAAUACGCCAGAUGCAUCCAUGCAGACUCCAAUACUCCAGCUCGGCCUAGGAGUUCAAGGUACUGGGGCAGUCACAGGGCUAUUGAUUUCUCUCUAGACUGUGUUGGUGUUCAGACUACAUCAACUCAGUGUCAAAGUGAUUGAUUGCAAAAUCAUCUGAUCUGGCCAUUCACCUGGCUUGGUGCUGUGAAAUCCUAUAGAAACCUUUUCUUAGGGCAGUUAUACUCAACCUGUGGGAAGUCACCCUCCCAAAGACCAUCUGAAGCAAAGCAAUUUACAUGACGAUUCAUAACACCAGCAAAACUGAUGUUAGGACGAUCCAAUGGAAAUGAUUUUACUGUCUGUGUUCACUAGAACACGAGAAAUUUUGCUAAAUGGUCUCAGCAUGAGGAGGGUUAAAACCCACUAUGUUAUGGUCAUCAGACAGUAUGUAGGUCAGGGCCUGAAUUACUCUCCAUGAAUGGAAAGUGUAAGACCUAUGCCCACAGCAAGGUCUCUGUCCUAGCAAAUGAGGUCAAUGAUGGUGAAUAGUUAUUUGUUGGAAAGCAGGAUGCUGGAUCAGUCUCAUUGAUUGUCUAGUGUGCAGAGUGCAAGAUACCAGCUAAUCAUAGGCAUAUAAAGAUUGGUCAGUUUUGUAGGAGUCUCUCAGUCUGCUGUGGUAGUGUGCUGAUUGCUAUGUUUUCUAUGCCUGGGAAUAUGAAGGGCAGGGUCAUGCUGGGUUUAGGAGCACUUACCUGGCUCAUUUGGUUGACAAGCUAAGAGAACCAGAAUAGACCUGGGACUUUUAGGCUGAACAGGUGGGUGAACAUCUGGAUCACUCUCCAGGUUAGGCAGAUGCCAGAUACAUGGCCAUGCUGAGGUUAGUGUAUAUGGCUAAUUGUGGUAGCUGAUUAUUUGGGGUCCAUGACCAGAUCUUUUUUGUUGGUUAGCAUUUGCUUGCUUCCUGUGAAAUUAUUUUUCCAGUAUCUGCCAGACAGUUUCCAAGUUUUCUGUCUUAACACUCCUGUGUAGGAAUAGAAUUUUCUAGUUGUUCCAGCUUUAUAUGUUUUUCAACUAUAAAUUCUUGACCGAAGGAUAUCUUUCAUAUCCAUGUUUUUCCCUGCAUUGUCUGGUCUAACAAUGAGAGACACAUUUCAGCUGUGUGUCUUUGCUAUUACAAAGUUUCCUUGGAUAUAAUGAUUACCUGUUUGGUGUUUAAUGGUUCCUCUGUCAUGUUUUUCAUAGGCAUUGCUGGUCUGAUCUCCAUGACCCCUUCAUCUCUUUUUUACCCUAUUUUUAAAGAAAAGGGUUUCCAUGUGAUGUUUUCCACAUUAAGAGCUGUAUUAAUCAUGAAAGAUAGUCUCUGCAUUUUACUAUUCCAGCUCUUUCUGCUUUGAUCAUUAAAAAAGUGUUCCGUAGCCAGCUUUUAUCUGCUCUGGCCAGGAAGUAAAUCUCUAAACUCAGCCACUUCCAAAGAGGUCACGUCAUGUAGGUUCCAAAGGAAGUUUACCAUUUCUGUAUCUUCACCAUCAUUAUUUAUUCUAGUCAGGAAGGAAUUAUUGUAUUUAUAUGUCUUCCUUGGCUGUAUUCAUUUUGGCUGCACAACAAUCUUCAAUAUUUAUGUCUUCUCAAGUUAUAGCUGACUUCAAAUAAUAAUAUCUACUCCAUAUUCUUGUGUUUCCCAGAUAUAUUUCUCUGAUACCUAUGGAAAUCUUCAAUAUCCACAUCUUUCAAUGCCAUAUUUUUUUAAUGUUCCCUUACCACAACAAUAACUAUUUGGUGAUGAAAAGCAGCCACCAUUUUCCUAUCUGCACAAUGAAAUAUAUUCUGCAUGUUAUAUUUUCUACCAUAGAUAGUAUUGUUAGGAAAUAAGCCUUCUAUCUCAUGUCUUUACUAACCACAGCACUUGGUGCAUUUUUCAUAUCAAUUUAUUACUCAAAAUGAGUAUCCAUAAGAGAUAGAAUCCAAUCCUCAGUCUUGUAUAAUCAUUAAAAAUUCUAGUUGCAAAGAGAACAUGACUUGUUCACUAAUACGGGUUUUAAAAAUUAUGUUAUAAUUUUCCAUGCCUAUAUGUUUCUAACUCACAACUACUCUGGCAAUAAAGUGCAUUCUCUGCAGGCACAUCCUCCCUGUUGCUGCUUUAGUACUGGAAUAAGUCAUCUAUCACUAUGUCUUUCCCUAGAUAUAGAUGCUGUUGACAAGAAAGUGAUGCUCAACUUCUAUGUUGUGUCAUUCAGUGCAGGGUUGUAGCUGUGAAAUGCCUUCCAAAUCUAGUUCAUCAUGAGCUAAAGUUGAUUGGUAAAGCAAGAAGUUUUCCAUUACCAUAUCUGCCCAGUUUAUAUUCACUCUCCUUAAGGAAAUUUUCCUGCUUCUCCUCUUCCAUAGUCUCAACAAAGUUGGUCAGAAAAAAGUUUCCAUCUCUGGCCAAGAAAUAAGUUCUUCAUUUUCAUGCUUUUCUCGUGUGCAUCUACUUUGAUAAUGUAAAAAGCCAUUCCUUGCUCAUGCCUUUCAAAGUCUCUCUGCUCUGGUUAUGAGCUUGACCUUUGAAUGCUAUAUGCUAUAGUUCCUUCCAUAAAAAACCAUAUACCUUUUUGUAUCCCCAAAAUUACAGCUGUCUUUGUUACAGAAUUGGGUUUUUUUCCCUGUUAUCAUAGCUUUUCAAAUUAUGGCAGCUUUGAUCAUGAAAGCAGACUUUCCACAAAACAGUCCUUGCUGUUUACGAUUUAGGAAAACUUCUUACUCCAUUCCUGUUCAGUCAUAUUUAUUUUUGUCACAUUCUAGUUUUGGUUUCCUCAGUUUCUGCAUCCAUAGCUACUUUGUCAAGUAAACAAUGAUUUUAAAUCUAGGAUUUCUCCUGUUAAAUUUGCUGUCAGUGUGUCUGUUUUGGUGACCACAGGAAGUUUUCUGUUCCCUCUCUGGCCAUUUAUGCUCUGAUCACUGAAGAUUUUUUGGAUUGUGUAUCUUAUAUGACCAUAGCAGCUCUUUGUGUGUUUGUGCUGAGAUAUUAUCUCAUCAGUCAGGGUGGUCUUGAACUCACUAUCCUACUACAGUGCUAGCUAGCAGCUCUUUGAUACAUGUAUCUGAGCUUUAUGACAUUCACAUAAUAAAUAAAUCUCUACAGCAAGAUGAAUUAAUAGAUAUAUUAUCUUGCAUACCUGCUUUUUUGUGAUGAAAGCAGCUAAAAUCCACUUAUUUCAUAAAAAAACUAAAUACAAUAUGGUCUUAUUAACUCUAGUACUUAUGCUGCCAUAUGUAAAGUCUCUGUACUUGCUCCUCCUAUACAUCUUCUACUUCAGGAUUCCUUUAGAACAGUUCUCACCACUUCAGUACAGUGAAGGUUUCCUUGUAGUGAAAGUGCGAUUCUAUCCUGCUGCUUCCCACUUUUCUAGCUUCACCCAUGGCUUGAGAGAACAUAGAGAAACAUAAAGAAUACACUAGUUGGAACAAAGUUCUAGGCAAGGACAGCCAAGUAGAUGAACCCACUUUGUUCUCUUCUGUGGGGUUUUGCAUUUCUACCUAUGCCUAUUUAUAUGUAUGUAUCCCCUUUUCAUGCUGUAUGUUUUGGCUUUUUACUCUGUAUCCUGACUGUAUUCAAGCCGAGAAGAGGACUGCAACUGUAGCGUGGAGAACAUAUUGUAAUUAUGGUAAGACAAUGGCCAGUUCAGGAACUAUUCUCUAAAAGGUGAAGUGAUCACAGAAACAAUCAUCAAAACCCCCCUUAAAAUAUCAGGAAUUCAUUAGAGUACAGUGAGGCUUUCUGGGGGCAAAGCCAAUGACUGCCUAGGAUAAAGGAUCUGGGGAUGUCUGUCUGGCUCAACCCAGCCCCCUCAUCAGACCAAACCUACCAAGAAAACUGAGGCUUGUACCUUGUAAAAAGUCACCUGUGGCUGAAAUACUCUUCUCAUAUGAAUACUAUGAGUGCUCACCUUGGUGGUAUACUCCUGUCAUCUUAGCACUAAAAAGACCAAAGCAAUAGGACUACAGCCCAGUGUAGGUUGCAUGAUAAGAAUCUGUCUAAAAAUGACUAAUAUGUAUUACUUUUACUCAUACUUGCUCUUUUUUCUUUAAAAUAUCCCUGGAUCUCUGAACUCCACUUCACUCAACAUUAUGUCGUCUUAUACUCUGAGAAACAUCUUGGGACAUUUGUACCUGGAUUUCCUUCAGGCUUGAUGUUUGGUAUUCCUUAUAGACCUUCACACCGUAAUUACAGGUGAUUUUAACCAGAAAUACCACCCAUUAGCUCUGUCAAGAGGAACAACAAUCAACAUGCCACCACACUGGAAAAACUUGCCUAGGAUCUGGCAACAAGCUGAAGUCCCAAGACCAUCUGGACAUCAAGAGUCAUUUCUUCAUAUUUCCAUAAAUGCUAGUUUGGUUGUGCUUGUAAUCCAUGCUACUUGGGAGACUUGAGUCAAAGAAACAAGUUGACCAUCCUGAACAACACAGUAUAACCUUAUCUCAAAUCAAAGCCAACCAAACUCCAGAAAAGAUAUUCAUAAACUUUCUAGUGAGCUUGCUGAGGAAAAGGAUUGUAUUGCUAAAUGUUAAGGGAUAAUGCCAUUAAUAUUUUAUAUUAACGGUAUUUUAUUAUUUAAGCCAUCAAAAUACUCAUUCUUAACAACAAGCAUUCUUGAGUGAACUUUUGUAAUGGGUGAAAUACUUAUAUGUAUGUGCAUGAUGAUAUAAUAUUUGUGCCAUUUUAGACUGAUAUUGUUAUUUGUAGUAUACUGAUGGUUCAGUGUAUAUCUUUUCCAUUAAGUUAUGUAAGAUUGGUGGGUUAGAAUUUACAAGUAAAAUAGUGGAUUAAACACUAUAUCUGAGCCAGUGAGUAAAAAAAAA